CGAGGCUCCCGGGCCCGCCGGCGUCUGUGGGGAACUGGGGCGCUGGUCGGUGCGCGGGCUGGGACGCUAAGUCAUGAGGAAUUAAACUGGGAAACCUGGCGUGGGUCCAGGCGCCUUCCAGGAGGCAUCCGGCGCGGCCCGGACGUGCUUCUACCCAGAACCACCCCCUCCAGGCCGGGGUGCACUUAACGGGGCUAUACAAAGAGUCUGACACUGUUAUUGCCCAUCUGAACUCGUCAACUGAGAAGGAAAGAGAUGGUUUAUGCUGUGAAUAAAAUACAGUUGUGCUGUGAUGUAAAUCCCCUCAUCCUGGAGCAGCUGAGCAAGGUCUAAGGCAGGAAGAACCUUCAAGCAGGUCAUGGCUGUAAGCCUCCUGAGUUUAUCCCAGCAAGUUGUAUAAGGGAUUAUCUUUUUAUC
rnacentral:lncRNA from 1 species